rnacentral:rRNA from 1 species
AUAUGAAGGGGGCUAGCGUUGUUCGGAAUUACUGGGCGUAAAGCGCGCGUAGGCGGAUUGGUCAGUUAGGGGUGAAAUCCCAGGGCUUAACCCUGGAACUGCCUCUAAUACUGCCAGUCUUGAGUUCGGGAGAGGUGAGUGGAAUUCCUAGUGUAGAGGUGAAAUUCGUAGAUAUUAGGAAGAACACCAGUGGCGAAGGCGGCUCACUGGCCCGAUACUGACGCUGAGGCGCGAAAGCGUGGGGAGCAAACAGGAUUAGAAACCCUAGUAGUCC